GUGGAGUGUGGUGGCUGCCAGGGUGGUCCGUGGAGCGUGGUAGCUGACGUAGAAGUUGCAGCGCUUACCCUUUGAUUUGAUGAACGUUUAUCGUGUGAAGGGUUGUUAAGGAUCACAGAAUGUCAAGGAAGGAUGUUGGAUAAAGGUUUUGCUUCUGGAAUCAAUACUUUUAUAACUUUGGGAGGGCCUCAUCUUUUUCUUUCCAAACGAAAACUUUUGAAUUGCAUUGAGAUUGAGAGGUACUACUCAAAGACUACGUUCGAAAUACUAGCUAUAAAAUAAAGGAAGGAGUGGAUCAUGUGGGAGGGGUUGAAUUCCAUUUAUGGCAAGCAUGUAAGCUCCAUUUUCAAUUAAUGUGUCACAGUUGCACAUUUUAUAUAUGUUAA